GACAGAGGGUGCAAACGUUGUUCGGAAUUACUGGGCGUAAAGCGUGUGUAGGCGGCCGCGACAGUCGGAUGUGAAAGCCCUGGGCUCAACUCAGGAAGUGCACCCGAUACUACGUGGCUAGAGUACCGGAGAGGUUGGUAGAAUUCUCGGUGUAAAGGUGAAAUUCGUAGAGUAUCGGGAGGAACACCGGUGGCGAAGGGCGGUUCUCUGGGCCUGUACUGGACGG
rnacentral:rRNA from 1 species